AACACCCUAUAUUUGACUUCAAUUCAAAACACCAAUAUGACACAGUUUAGUAAUCCCUCACAAACAAAUAUCACAAAAGUCUCAGAAUUAUUUCAAUAUCACAGUCUUCUCUAAACCCUAGGAGAGAGUUCUACCAUUUCUUCCCUAAGAAAAUUCGAUCAAAUAUAGAGAAAUCACCCUAGAAACAAGAUUAGUUUAUAGAGAGAAAUAAAGAGAGUAAAAGGAAAGAAAACACCCAUAAUUUUAUUGAGGUUAACCCAAGAUUGGGCUACGUCCUCAUUGAGCUGCUCCUUAGAUGGUGAUCUCAGAUUUUCAUUGAUAAGAAUAUGAUUAGAUAGAUCAAGUAAGGAUUCUAAGUCACAGAAGUACGACAAGGUAAUCCCUCUCUCUCAACUCUCAGUACUCUGUAUUUUUCUCUCUUUUCUUUUACAAUACUUUUACAGACUCUCUCUUAUGUUUAUUUCUCUCCCCCUCUCUAUCUCUCCCUUUCUCUCUAACUCGCUCCUGAGAACUCUGGCUCUACUUCAAGAACUUGGGGCUUCAACAAAUGCGAUCCUCAAGUAUAUAUAUAGGGUGGAAAUUCAAUUGAUUUGUACCUGUGGUAAUUAGUUGAUUCUAUUAGAGGUUUAUUAGGAUAUGAGCUGAAUAAAUUUUCUUGUAAUUGAUUCUUGUAAGAGAGCAUGUGAGGUUUUGGCCUUCGGGCAAGAUAAUUUAAUUUUUUGUAACUGUACUGUUGUUAACUGCUUAAGUGGAGAUUUAAACUACACAAACCUUUGGAUAGAGCGACAGCAAUGAAAACUCGGAUGGUGCCUGGUUUGACAACUAGACUAAAUGUGUCAAAAUAGUCCACUCCUUGAGUUUCUGCUUGCGGUGGUGGAGAAGUGAGCUGCCAAGUCUUGUUCUUAGUGAGAGCUACAAUUUCGGCUUCCAUGGUUGCCUUCCAAGAAGGAUGCUCAAGAGCUUGUUUGUAAUUAUUCAACAGAGAAGUGGAGGAAGGAACACACUUAGCCGUGAAAGCUUUAGGCUUGUGAAUUCCAUGUUUUGCUCUAGUGACCAUGGGGUGCACAUUAGUAGCUGGUUGUGGCUACACAGAAACAAUAUUAGUAAUAUAUGCAUGUUCAAUAGGUGCUAAAUCAUCAGCAAUAGUAUGUAAGGUAGAUAAAUGAGAUGUAGAGGGGUUAAUGGGAGGAGGAGAAGUGGAAGGAAUCACCUGUGUAGAUAAAGAUGAGGUGGGAAUGGAUGGGGAAAUAGGUGGGGAUGGAUACUUGACAUGAGAGAAAGGAAGGAUGGUAGGAGUAGGCGUGGGUGAAGUUGAAGUGGUAAUAGACGUAGAGGUAGUGAGGAAGGAGGGAAAAUAUGAUUCAUCAAAUACCAAAUGUCUACUAGUAUAAAUCCUAUAAGAUUUGGGUUCAAGGUAUAAGUAGCCUUUGUGUUGUGUACUAUAUCCCAGAAAAAUGCACGAAAUGGACCUGUAUUGGAGUUUGUUGGCAUUGUAAGGCCUGAGAUAAGGGAAAGACAGACAUCCAAAGGUCCUAAAAAGAGAGUAAUCGAGGCAUUUCCCAUAUAGGGCUUGAUAUGGGGUGUUAUAUGCUGUAAAACUUUUGUGGGUAAACUAUUAAUGAUAUAUAUGGAAGCACGAAAAACAUAUAACCAGUAAUGAAGAGGCAGAGAUGCAUGUGCAAGAAGAGAUAGGCUAGUCUCAACUACAUGCCUAUGCUUACGCUCAACCCUAAUAAGUAAUUUUAAUUUCUCAAAAGCACCUAAGGCUUUAUCUUUAGAAUGUAAAGGAUAAAGCCAAGAGAAUCUGGAAUAGUCAUCAAGAAAUAAUAUGAAUUAUCUUGAACCAUCAAUGGUAGCAGUUGGAGAUGGAUCCCAAAGAUUCGUAUGGAUUAAUUCAAGAGGAGUUGUAGCAUGGGAUACAUACAAUUAAAAUGGACCCGAGUAUGUAGUUGGGGACUCAACAUUGGCAACAGAUGGUGUAAGGUUAUGAGAUGCAUCUGAGUCAAACAACCAAGAAUCAUCUACAACAGUGGUAAAGUUAGCUAUCAUAGCUUUCAUUAAGGGUGCAGUCUGAGAUUGUCCUUGAGAUUAAGAAGUGGGCGCAGGAAAAUUCGGGUCAAAUCAUCGAUAACACGUGAAGGAAUUGUGACUGGGUCUCAAACAAAGCUGACAUAUGACUUUGGGACCAUUGACUAGGGCACGAGCAUUGGAGAAACUUCUAUUGGCAGGAGCAUUAUAGAAACCAUGUCCAGAAGGAACAUUAGAGGAAGCACAGGCAUUGGGAAAUCUAUUCCAGGGUUGAUUUCUUUGUGGUGGUUGUUGUCUAUAAGCGAUAUUGGCAGCAAUGGCAGUAGUUUCAUCCACAAAGUUUUGGUGCUCAAGUCGAGACUCAUGGGCCAAUAGGAGGCUUGUGACUUGCUCAAGCGUAAGGGGAUUAGUUUUGGGUGUAAUAGAGACAACAAAGGCAUUGUAUUAUGAGUUGGGACCAGCUAAAAGAUAGAGUACCUGAUCUCGGUCUGAGAUUUUCUCAGAGAUGGCAUCAAGUUGGUCAGUUAAGUUCUUGACCUUGAGAGUAUAAUCCAUGAUAGACAGACCACCUUUCUCGAGAGUUUGCUGUUGAAGCCUAAGUUGCAUGAUACAAGCGUUGGAAGAAGAGGAAUAAAUUUGUUGGGGGGCAGUCUAGGAAGUGGCGCUGGUGGUAUGACAAACAAUGUGAGCCAUGAUUUUUGGGGAAAGAGAUGAAAGAGACAAGAAAGUAUAAGACGAUAUUUCCUUUGCCAUUCAACAAACGCUGGAUUGAGACCAGCAAUUCCAUCAAUAUGCUGAUCAGGAGCUGUAUUUGUUCCAUCAAGAAAGUCGUCGAUGCCGUUGGCGAGGAUGACGUUUUCCAUCUAAGCGCGCCAGAGAAGGAAAUUUGAUCGAUCAAGCUUUACGGGAAGAAUAUGAUUUAGGGCUUGAGACAAAGCCAUGAACUAUUAUUGUUGGGUUGUAAGGGCAGAGAAAUUCGUUGAAGCAAAUGGCGUUGCAGCAGUAGGAGGUAUACGAGAGUCAUCGGGAUUCGCCAUUGAAGAGGCAGAGCAAAAUCAAGAAACAGAGUCGAGAAAAGUAGUCUCUUGAAAGGUCUGAUACCAAGUUAAGACUAAAGGAGAGUAGUAAAAUAGAGCUCUAAUAUGAUAAUGACCAGAAGCUCAAAAGACUUUAUUUAUAGCAAAUGAAAGACUACAAAGAGUACAAAGAGAAGCAGAGAAAAAGAAGCGGGAAAAGCUAAACAAAAUAGAACAUAAAAGUAACAAGAUUAACAACACAACUGUAACUAUACAGACCAACUAAUCUAUUCUAACGAAAAAUACAGUUUUUUUAUAUAGAGAUAUGUGUAUUUAAUAAACUGAACAUAUACACAUUAUAUAUAUAUAUAUAUUAAUCAUAUUGUAAAAAUGAAGAAAAUAGAUAAAAACAAUAAAAAAAAAAAUUGGUGCAAAAUGUAAGUUCCCUAAUGAUUGGCCCCGAAUUAUAGACGUCAUAUCACUUUAACCUUAGUUGAUACUGUACUAUAUAUCAUAAAUGUUGUUACCAUUGGUCCUUUUAUAUGUGAGAAAAAGAAGAUUAUUAUUG